AAAUAGAACUUUGCAGAGAGAGUUAACAGGGCGUGAAACCGUUAAUUGGCAAACGAAUCGGAGCCACGAAGUCGUUUCGCUGAUAAGUUGGGCCGAGUUCAGCUUAAGAGCUAAAACUCUUAGGUGUAUUCUCGUUAGUCCAACCAAAUCAAUGUAAGCGUACACUGCAACCAGUUAGACAAUUGGCGAUGGGCCUAGUUAGUUUAGUUGUUUGAGUUAGUAGUAGAGUGGCUCACUUCGGUGUUCUUGCUUUGCUGGGCUCUUUCAAGUGAACUAUCACCAAAAACUGACUGGCAAAAUGAAAAUCCCCUAUGGGGUUAGUAGAGAAAGCAGCUUGUUGCAUUAGUGCUUACUCCUUUGACCGUAGGGUUUAAGUUCGGCAUUUUUGAAUUUGGACUGGCUAGCUAUCAAUGGGGCAACUCUUGGUGCUAGUUUAGCAUCCAUCUAAUCGGGUGCUGACUUGAUUUUACGUUGUUUAAAGGAGCUUCGAUCGAGUGUUAAUGUAAGCAAGUUCGCAAUCUUAUUGGCAGUGAGUAGGUCGGCUUUCCGAACGACCCGUCUUGAAACACGGACCAAGGAGUCUAAUUAGGCAUCGAGUCGAUCGGUCUUGAAUAGGCCAGACUGGGGAGUUCUUCCCGAUUGAAGGCGUAGAGACAUGUGAUCAUUGGACUAAAACAAGUCCUUUGCGCAACAUGUGCCUGUUCGUAUAGCAAUGUCUUGCAUUGCUGGGCGGAGUAAAGAGAUGCUUGAUUGGUACCCGAAAGAUGGUGAUGCCUGGGCAAGUUGAAGCCAGAGGAAACUCUGGUGGAGGACUGUAGCGAUUCUGACGUGCAAAUCGAUCGUCAGACCUGGGUAUAGGGGCGAAAGACUAAUCGAACCAUC
rnacentral:rRNA from 1 species